UGCUCACUUCAGCAGCACUACACUAAAACUGGAAUGAUACAGAGAAGAUUAGUAUGGCCCCCUGUGCAAGGAUGAUAUGCAAACUGGUGAAACAUUCCACUUAAAA